rnacentral:rRNA from 1 species
AUGCCGUGCGGAGUGUGCGGCUGCGCAUGCCGCACCGGCGGCGAGGCCCCCAAUGGGGAGCUGGAUGCGCCGCUGCCUGACAUUGAGACAGGAUCUGGCCAGGGCGCGGCGCCACUGGACGCCCAAGUAUCGCCGCUGAACAUCGCUAUUCAUCGGGUAUCAUUGUUCUUGGUGUGGGUGUAUUUGCUGGAUUUAAUGAGAAGAUUUGCGAUGAAACAUACCGACGGAGACAUAUGGUUUAGCACACUUGCUGUGCUUCUUAUGGCCUUACCGGUGACAGAGUACUUCUUAAUUACUGCCAUGUGUGAGCACAACCCAGAUGGUUUGAUGUGGAGGCUAUAUUGA